UGGGGAAUAUUGCGCAAUGGGCGAAAGCCUGACGCAGCAACGCCGCGUGAGUGAUGAAGGCCUUCGGGUCGUAAAGCUCUGUCGGAGGGAACGAAUGCUCCUGAAGUUAACAGCCUCAGGAGGUGACGGUACCCUCAAAGGAAGCACCGGCUAACUCUGUGCCAGCAGCCGCGGUAAUACAGAGGGUGCAAGCGUUGUUCGGAAUCAUUGGGCGUAAAGGGCGUGUAGGCGGUAUGUUAAGUCAUGUGUGAAAUCCCUCGGCUCAACCUGGGAACUGCGUCUGAUACUGGAAGGCUUGAGUAUGGGAGAGGGAUGUAGAAUUCCAGGUGUAGCGGUGAAAUGCGUAGAUAUCUGGAGGAAUACCGGUGGCGAAGGCGGCAUCCUGGACCAUUACUGACGCUGAGGCGCGAAAGCUAGGGGAGCAAACGGGAUUAGAUACCCCAGUAGUCCCUGAGCGGGCUGGCAAGGCGCAU
rnacentral:rRNA from 1 species